rnacentral:tRNA from 1 species
GCUGGUAUGGUGAAAUUGGUAGACACAGCAGACUCAAAAUCUGCCGGGUUCGCCCUUGCCAGUUCGAGUCUGGCUACCAGCA